CUCUGUGUGUGUCUUUAACUCACACAGGGCCCUGUAACAAGAAGCUAAAGCUAAGCUGAUCUCCAUUUUUCAUGGCCACUCAACAUGAAAAUUAUGCACCAAAUGUUACUGUUACAAAGAGGGUAUCCGUAUAUCCAAAAACCUUAAUGCACCCUCACAGAAUUCUCAACCUCUCCAACUUGGACAGGCAGUGUCCUUUGCUCAUGUACUUGGUUUUCUUUUAUAAGGCAUCUCAAGCUUAUAACAACUUGUCGCUCAACUCAGUUUUCAGUAGCUUGAAAUCUGGCUUGGAAGAGACCUUGUCAAUUUGGUACCCAGCAGCGGGUAGGUUGAACUUGAAUCCAAAUGAUGGAAAGCUCAAUCUUUGGUGCAAUAACGAAGGUGCAUUUUUAAUUGAGGCGGUGACACAAGUAAAGAUCUCAGAGCUUGGAGACCUCUCGCAUUACAAUGAAUUCUUUGAAAAUCUGAUCUAUAAACCUUUUUUCAAUGGAAAUUUUUCUGUGAUGCCCUUGGUUGUUGCCCAGGUGACAAAAUUUGGCUGUGGAGGCUACUCGGUGGGCAUAGGCACAAGCCACUCGUUAUUUGAUGGACCAGCCACCUUCGAUUUUCUGCGCGCAUGGGCUUGUAAUUCUGCAAUUAUGAAAGAAAAGGGUAGCCAUGAACUUCAAAAGCCAGUCCAUGAGAGAG
rnacentral:misc_RNA from 1 species